AUUGAACGCUGGCGGCAUGCUUUACACAUGCAAGUCGAACGGCAGCGCGGGCUUCUGCCUGGCGGCGAGUGGCGAACGGGUGAGUAAUGCAUCUGAACGUGCCCAGCAGUGGGGGAUAGCCCGGCGAAAGCCCGAUUAAUACCGCAUACUACCUGAGGGGUCAAGCGGGGGACCGAAAGGCCUCGCGCUAUUGGAGCGGCCGAUGCCGGAUUUGCUAGUUGGUGGGGUAAAGGCUUACCAAGGCGACGAUCCGUAGCUGGUCUGAGAGGACGACCAGCCACACUGGGACUGAGACACGGCCCAGACUCCUACGGGAGGCAGCAGUGGGGAAUUUUGGACAAUGGGGGCAAACCUGAUCCAGCCAUGCCGCGUGCGGGAAGAAGGCCUUCGGGUUGUAAAGCGCUUUUGUUCGGGAAGAAAUCCUCUGGGCUAAUACCCCGGGGGGAUGACGGUACCGGAAGAAUAAGCACCGGCUAACUACGUG
rnacentral:rRNA from 1 species